rnacentral:rRNA from 1 species
CCAAUAGCGUAUAUUAAAGUUGUUGCAGUUAAAAAGCUCGUAGUUGAACCUUAGGCCCGUGCGGGCGGUCCGUCCUCUGGGCGAGCACUGCUCCGUCGCGGGUCUCACCUUCUGGCGAGCGUGGAUGCCAUUUAUUUGGUGUCCGCGGGAACCAGGACCUUUACCUUGAAAAAAUUAGAGUGCUCAAAGCGGGCUCCGACGCUUGAAUACAUUAGCAUGGAAUAAUGAAAUAGGACGAUGGUUCUAUUUUGUUGGUUUCCGGGACCGUCGUAAUGAUUAAUAGGGAUAGUUGGGGGCAUUCGUAUUCAAUUGUCAGAGGUGAAAUUCUUGGAUUUAUUGAAGACGAACUACUGCGAAAGCAUUUGCCAAGGAUGUUUUCAUUAAUCAAGAACGAAAGUUGGGGGAUCGAAGACGAUCAGAUACCGUCGUAGUCUCAACCAUAAACUAUGCCGACUGGGAAUCGGGCGAUGUUACUUUUCUGACUCGCUCGGCGCCCCGAG